rnacentral:rRNA from 1 species
UUGUCUCAAAGAUUAAGCCAUGCAUGUCUCAGUACGAGCCGCAUUAAGGUGAAACCGCGAAAGGCUCAUUAAAUCAGUUAUGGUUCCUUAGAUCGUACCCACAUUUACUUGGAUAACUGUGGUAAUUCUAGAGCUAAUACAUGCAAACAGAGCUCCGACCGGAGACGGGAGGAGUGCUUUUAUUAGAUCAAAACCGAUCGGCGGCGCGGGCKCGCCUCGCGCGCGUCCGCGUGCGCCGCYACAACUGGUGACUCUGAAUAACUUUAGGCUGAUCGCACGGUCUCGCACCGGCGACGCGUCUUUCAAAUGUCUGACUUAUCAACUGUCGAUGGUAGGUUCUGCGCCUACCAUGGUCGUAACGGGUAACGGGGAAUCAGGGUUCGAUUCCGGAGAGGGAGCCUGAGAAACGGCUACCACAUCCAAGGAAGGCAGCAGGCGCGCAAAUUACCCACUCCCGGCACGGGGAGGUAGUGACGAAAAAUAACGAUACGGGACUCAUCCGAGGCCCCGUAAUCGGAAUGAGUACACUUUAAAUCCUUUAACGAGGACCAAUUGGAGGGCAAGUCUGGUGCCAGCAGCCGCGGUAACUCCAGCUCCAAUAGCGUA